UCGAGUUUCCCAAUUUUAGAAAUACAAUCUGGCUGUCGCUCAAAAGUAAUAUGGUAUUUCUCGAGCAAGCAGGCCAUUAGAUUGUGAUUGUGUUCCUGAGAUUCAAUGGAUUCAUCAUCCAGUUGCCCUUUCUGCGACCAAGUUGUUCCAUCAAAAGAACUUCAGAGGCAUGCUAAUGGUCACUUUGAAGAUGAAGAUAAUGACGAUAAACAACGCCAACUUGCUAGGGACUUUGAGUUGGCCCAGAAAAUGGCUUUUUCCUCUACUCCUUACGACAAUGUUAAUCAAGAAACCAUUAAACUUGAGGGAUCUUUGGAUAGCAGCAAGUUAAGUUGUGAGAGGGGGGCUUUGGUGAAGGAAAAGUUGAAUGUUAAUGAAAAGAUCUCUUCCCUGAUUGGUUUACAGAAUAGGAGUGGUUUUUAUAAGGUGGAAGGUGGUCUGAUGUCUUUAUUAAGAAAUUGCUUAGAAUUAGAAUCUAGUGACUCGACUAGUAUUGUGUCAGGGUAUGUUGAUCAUUAUCAGAGUAUUGAAUUUGAGGAUCUUGGGUGGGGCUGUGGAUGGCGGAACAUUCAAAUGCUUUGCUCUCAUUUGAUAAUGCAAAGACCAGAAGCUAGAAAGGUUUUAUUUGGUGGAUCAGGAGUUGUUCCUGAUAUUCUAUCACUUCAGAGAUGGCUUGAGAUUGCUUGGAAAAAAGGAUUUGAUGUACAUGGUGCAGAGCAUUUUAAUUACAAAAUUUAUGGCAGAAAAAAUUGGAUUGGAGCCACGGAAUGUGCUGCCCUUUUGCGUUCCUUUGGGCUCCAGGCAAGGAUAGUUGAUUUUGGUCCUAAAGAGUGCGAGGAACUUUAUCUCUCAGUCCCUGGUUCAAGUAGUGGGGCACAAAUGGUAAACUUAAUUGAUGCAAAUAAGAGAAAAACAGCUAAGGUUAAUGGGCCCAUGGAUAGGUUUCUUGUAAGUAGAAAUGACGGUGUUCCACAAACUGGUUCUAGUGGGCAUGAGAAGUCCAAAUAUUCUCGAAGUGUCUUGGAAAAUAAGUCCACUCAGAAAGCGAAAGGUCAUCAGGUUCUGGUUGAUUGGGUAUGGAAUUACUUCUCUGAUGGAAGGAUAUGCACGUAUAGUCACCAGCACGUUAAUGUUAGUGGAAAAACGCCAUUGUUCUUUCAGCAUGAUGGACAUUCUAGGACCAUUGUGGGCAUUCAAGUCAAACAGCAGCGUAAUGGAAUGCAGCAAUACAAUCUCCUGAUUUUGGACCCAGCUCAUAGUACUAAAGGCAUUGAAAAGUCCCUUAGAGAGAAUAAUGGAUGGCAGAAACUAAUAAAAAGAGGAACUCAUACGCUGAAUAAGCCACAAUACCAGUUGUGUUAUAUUGAUUCUGGAAUUGCUGCUGGGGCUGACUUGGAAUUGCUGAAGAAAAUUGAUAGCCUCUUUCUGGAGCUUUAGAUGAACAUAUUGUACCUUUUUUGUUCUCUGACACACAGGUCAUUGACGUAUAUUUAAUCUAAAAAGCUUUCAUUUGAGCUGUCAACAGGGAGGUAUGUGAACCUAUCUCCGCAAUCUCACCUCUAUCCAUGACUACAAUAACGUCUGAGUUUAUCACUGUAGAGAGCUGAUGGGCAACUAUAAUCUGAGUAGUUCUGAGUCCAUUGUUCCCGUUUGUUGACUCUAAAGCACUAACUAAAGUUC